UCUCCGACUUCAGUGCAUUCAAGACAACAGGGAACUCGGAAAAACGAGCCCCGACUGGGAAAAAUAUUUUUCUAAAUGUCUUCCAACUCGGAAUUCCAACUCGGGAACUAGGGACUCUUUCUAUAGCUCUGACUUUCCGACCUGAAGAUCAAUGACUUCAUGACUUGACCUCGUAUUUUUCCGAGUUCCCAGUUGUCUUGAAAGCACCAAUGGAUCAGAGAAACGUGCCAGUGGGUACCAGCAAGCACACCAGCACAGCGGGAUCAAGUGUUGCAAUGCAACGGGUGUCCAGGGGCGCAAACGACAUCGAUUUGGCCAGCUAGGUAGAAAAGCUCCAGCAGGCGUACAGCUACAUUCGGAUGCCCUCCAACUGCCUGCUCACCUGUGGGGAAACAUACAAACUCUGCUGUGAUUCUACUGAGAAAAAUAAGAUACAACCUUUGACGGAAAUGUUUCGCCGUGACUACGGCCCCAACUACCACCCCACCUUCCAGGUGCUCCUUGGAUCAGACACAGAGGAUGUGGAGCUACGGCUCCUGAGGAGUGGGGGUGAGGAGGUAUGGAUGCGUGAUGUACCACUAAUAGUGGUUGUCCAGGUCCAUCUCUCUCUGUGAUCUCCAGGGCCAGAAGACUCCUGUUCCUGCACCGUGGACCCCACUAUCCUGAAGUACAGGAGCUACAGGCUAUAGUUUGCGGUGGCUACAACCUACUAAAGGGGUGAUGUCUGAGGUGUGACUCUUUUUUAGUUAACCUUUAUUUAACUAGGCAAGUCACGUAGGAUGUUCCUGAUAUGUAUUCCGUAGUUAUAUAUCUAAAACAAAUUAGUUAGCUUCUUAUAACAUCAAUUGAAUUAGGCCAUGAACGCCUAUGACCUUACCACCAACAGUAGAUAAUAAAAUACAACUCAAACUUCAUAAUUAAAAAGACAACAAUGUCCAUUUGAAAUAGCAUUUAAUAUGACCG